CCUACGGGAGGCAGCAGUGGGGGAUAUUGCACAAUGGGGGAAACCCUGAUGCAGCGACGCCGCGUGGGUGAAGAAGUAUUUCGGUAUGUAAAGCCCUAUCAGCAGGGAAGAGAGAAGACGGUACCUGACUAAGAAGCCCCGGCUAACUACGUGCCAGCAGCCGCGGUAAUACGUAGGGGGCGAGCGUUAUCCGGAUUCACUGGGUGUAAAGGGAGCGUAGACGGACGUGCAAGCCAGGAGUGAAAGCCCGGGGCCCAACCACGGGACUGCUUUUGAAACUGUGCGGCUGGAGUGCGGGAGGGGUAGGCGGAAUUCCUGGUGUAGCGGUGAAAUGCGUAGAUAUCAGGAGGAACACCGGCGGCGAAGGCGGCCUGCUGGACCGAGACUGACGUUGAGGCUCGAAAGCGUGGGGAGCGAACAGGAUUAGAUACCCUUGUAGUC
rnacentral:rRNA from 1 species